UUUAAAGCAUCCUCUCGAGUUGGCAGCAUGCGCCCAUUGAAAUCUGUAGGAUGCCCUAAAAUGUUCAAUGUAAGAUUUCUUCGACAUACACUCAUGUCGAUGUGGAUAAAUGCAGAUAAACAGCUUUACUACGAUUCACUUGUGAACUAUUUGAGAUACACAAACAAAACAACUGUAGAACAACAGGUCUACAUACACACUUUUUUACGUUGACACGCAGAAGUUAGUAUUGGGCCCUAACGAUUCACACAAAUAAAUCUAAGGUGGCGAAGAGAUGCAAAUUUCAAAUUAUAAUUCUCGAGAAAUAAAUGUAAAGAACACGCAAUCUUUCGACAUUAACUUUCAACAAGGUGAAAGUUCUCUAGAAUAGGUAUAGGUUUGACAGCAAUUCAUACAUAUUUUAGUGUCUGAGAUACCACUUUUGACUAGUAAAAGUUGGAAAUAUACGGAAGACAUCGUCGCACAGCAAUCGGAUUUUGAACACGUAUUCUGGACAUGUUUAAGCCCUAUUAGCGUUUCAAAGUCGAAAAAAAAUUUUUAAUGACCCGCCCUAAUGCACAAACUGUCAGGAGUAUGGAAACACCAGGACAUACUGCUCACUCCGAUCAUUCUGUGUAGUUUGUGGGACUUUCACAAAGAAGACCCCCAAAAGAAGAAAUGUGGAAACUGAGGAGGAAAUCACACUGCUAAAUACAGGACCUGUGUGGUCUACAAGAAAUUGAAAAACCGCAUGCGACGAGUGACAAACACGCGCUAUCAAAAUCCUCAAAACGUGUACACUUUACAAACACUUAUUCAAAACCAGAACAUAGUGUUACGGUUGCU